GUGGAUGGAGAGGACUCGCAUGGGAGGUAUUUUCGCAGCUCCAAGUCUCAGGGAAGCUGAAUUGAAGUCUAGUGAGCUGGUUUGAGAUGGUUUAAAGCACCAAUUGAGGAGUGGUUUUGCUGUAAUUCUUCACCCCAAAGUCAGAGUUAAAGCCUUCGAGGUUUCCAAAUUAAUUUGAGCUGAAUUUGUGACCUUGGGGACUGGUUUAGAGGGUGUUUCAACCUGGGCGAGGCUGCGAUUGACUUUCAGAUUAUCUUUGGCUGAUAUGUGAGGGCAAUUAGAGGCUUAACUUGAGCAGAGUGGGGCACCGUUGAGUUGAGUUUCGGGAUUUCUUGUGACUGGAUUGAACUUAGG